rnacentral:siRNA from 1 species
CUGAGCUUCAAGCUUUUAAGGGUU